rnacentral:rRNA from 1 species
AUUACUCCUACGGGAGGCAGCAGUGGGGAAUAUUGGACAAUGGGGGCAACCCUGAUCCAGCCAUGCCGCGUGAGUGAUGAAGGCCUUAGGGUUGUAAAACUCUUUUGUCCGGGAAGAUAAUGACUGUACCGGAAGAAUAAGCCCCGGCUAACUUCGUGCCAGCAGCCGCGGUAAUAAU